GAGUUUGAUCUUGGCUCAGAUUGAACGCUGGCGGCAUGCCUUACACAUGCAAGUCGAACGGCAGCACGGGAGCUUGCUCCUGGUGGCGAGUGGCGAACGGGUGAGUAAUGCAUCGGAACGUAUCCUGGAGUGGGGGAUAACGUAGCGAAAGUUACGCUAAUACCGCAUAUUCUGUGAGCAGGAAAGCGGGGGACCUUCGGGCCUCGCGCUCUUGGAGCGGCCGAUGUCGGAUUAGCUAGUUGGUGAGGUAAAGGCUCACCAAGGCGACGAUCCGUAGCAGGUCUGAGAGGAUGAUCUGCCACACUGGAACUGAGACACGGUCCAGACUCCUACGGGAGGCAGCAGUGGGGAAUUUUGGACAAUGGGGCAAUCCUGAUCCAGCCAUGCCGCGUGAGUGAAGAAGGCC
rnacentral:rRNA from 1 species